GGCGGACGGGUGAGUAACGCGUGGGUAACCUGCCUCAUACAGGGGGAUAACAGUUAGAAAUGACUGCUAAUACCGCAUAAGCGCACAGUAUCGCAUGAUACAGUGUGAAAAACUCCGGUGGUAUGAGAUGGACCCGCGUCUGAUUAGCUAGUUGGUGGGGUAACGGCCCACCGUGGCAACGAUGUCUAGGGGUUCUGAGAGGAAGGUCCCCCACACUGGAACUGAGACACGGUCCAGACUCCUACGGGAGGCAGCAGUGAGGAAUAUUGGUCAAUGGUCGGGAGACUGAACCAGCCAUGCCGCGUGAAGGCGACGGCCCUAUGGGUCUUAAACUUCUUUUGCGAGGGAGCAAUAAGGAUUACGUGUAGUCCGAUGAGAGUACCUCGCGAAUAAGCAUCGGCUAACUCCGUGCCAGCAGCCGCGGUAAUACGGGGGAUGCGAGCGUUAUCCGGAUUUAUUGGGUUUAAAAGGGUGCGUAGGCGGCCUGUUAAGUCAGCGGUGAAAUUCAGGGGCUCAACCUCUGCCGUGCCGUUGAUACUGGUGGGCUUGAAUGCGGGAUGCCGUGGGAGGAAUGUGUGGUGUAGCGGUGAAAUGCAUAGAUAUCACACAGAACACCGAUUGCGAAGGCAUCUCACGAAUCCGCUAUUGACGCUGAUGCACGAAAGCGUGGGGAUCAAACAGGAUUAGAUACCCUGGUAGUCCACGCUGUAAACGAUGAUGACUAACCGUCGGCGAUACACAGUCGGUGGCCAAGCGAAAGCGAUAAGUCAUCCACCUGGGGAGUACGACCGCAAGGUUGAAACUCAAAGGAAUUGACGGGGGCCCGCACAAGCGGAGGAACAUGUGGUUUAAUUCGAUGAUACGCGAGGAACCUUACCCGGGCUCGAACGGCAGAUGAAUAACUCAGAGAUGGGUUAGUCUUCGGACAUCUGUCGAGGUGCUGCAUGGUUGUCGUCAGCUCGUGCUGUGAAGUGUCGGCUUAAGUGCCAUAACGAGCGCAACCCUUGCCGUUAGUUGCCAUCAGGUUAAGCUGGGGACUCUAGCGGGACUGCCACCGCAAGGUGUGAGGAAGGGGGGGAUGACGUCAAAUCAGCACGGCCCUUACGUCCGGGGCGACACACGUGUUACAAUGGUGGGUACAGAGGGAAGCUACCUGGCGACAGGAUGCAGAUCUCGAAAACCCAUCCCAGUUCGGAUUGGAGUCUGCAACCCGACUCCAUGAAGUUGGAUUCGCUAGUAAUCGCGAAUCAGCCAUGGCGCGGUGAAUACGUUCCCGGGCCUUG
rnacentral:rRNA from 1 species